GCAAGCGGAGGAACAUGUGGUUUAAUUCGAUGAUACGCGAGGAACCUUACCCGGGCUUAAAUUGCAUUUGAAUAUGUAGGAAACUAUAUAGCCGCAAGGCAAAUGUGAAGGUGCUGCAUGGUUGUCGUCAGCUCGUGCCGUGAGGUGUCGGCUUAAGUGCCAUAACGAGCGCAACCCUUAUCUUCAGUUACUAACAGGUCAUGCUGAGGACUCUGGAGAGACUGCCGUCGUAAGAUGUGAGGAAGGUGGGGAUGACGUCAAAUCAGCACGGCCCUUACGUCCGGGGCUACACACGUGUUACAAUGGGGGGUACAGAAGGCAGCUACCUGGUGACAGGAUGCUAAUCCCAAAAACCUCUCUCAGUUCGGAUCGAAGUCUGCAACCCGACUUCGUGAAGCUGGAUUCGCUAGUAAUCGCGCAUCAGCCAUGGCGCGGUGAAUACGUUCCCGGGCCUUGUACACACCGCCCGUCAAGCCAUGAAAGCCGGGGGUACCUGAAGUACGUAAAAGCAAGGAGCGUCCUAGGGUAAAACUGGUAA
rnacentral:rRNA from 1 species